rnacentral:tRNA from 4 species
GCCGCUGUAGCUCAGUUGGUAGAGCGGCGCUUUCGUAAAGCGUAGGUCACCGGUUCGAGUCCGGUCAGCGGCUCCA